rnacentral:rRNA from 1 species
CACAUGCAAGUCGAGGGGCAGCACAAGGUAGCUUGCUAUCUGGGUGGCGACCGGCGCACGGGUGCGUAACGCGUAUGCAACUUGCCCUAUACAGGAGGAUAACCCGUCGAAAGACGGACUAAUACUGCGUAUGCUCACAACUUGGCAUCAAGAAGUGAGGAAAGAAAUUCGGUAUAGGAUAGGCAUGCGUCCCAUUAGCUUGUUGGUGAGGUAACGGCUCACCAAGGCAACGAUGGGUAGGGGAACUGAGAGGUUUAUCCCCCACACUGGUACUGAGACACGGACCAGACUCCUACGGGAGGCAGCAGUGAGGAAUAUUGGUCAAUGGGCGAGAGCCUGAACCAGCCAAGUCGCGUGAAGGAUGACUGUCUUAUGGAUUGUAAACUUCUUUUAUACGGGAAUAACAAGAGUCACGUGUGACUCCCUGCAUGUACCGUAUGAAUAAGCAUCGGCUAACUCCGUGCCAGCAGCCGCGGUAAUACGGAGGAUGCGAGCGUUAUCCGGAUUUAUUGGGUUUAAAGGGUGCGUAGGCGGUUUGUUAAGUCAGCGGUGAAAUCUAGAGGCUCAACCUCGAAACUGCCGUUGAAACUGGCGAACUUGAGUGUAGAUGAGGUAGGCGGAAUUCGUGGUGUAGCGGUGAAAUGCAUAGAUAUCACGAGGAACUCCAAUUGCGAAGGCAGCUUACUAAGGUACAACUGACGCUGAAGCACGAAAGCGUGGGUAUCAAACAGGAUUAGAUACCCUGGUAGUCCACGCAGUAAACGAUGAUAACUGGGCGUAUGCGAUAUACAGUAUGCUCCUAAGCGAAAGCGUUAAGUUAUCCA